rnacentral:rRNA from 1 species
GAUAAACGCUGGCGGCGUGCCUAAUACAUGCAAGUCGAGCGAACGGACGAGAAGCUUGCUUCUCUGAUGUUAGCGGCGGACGGGUGAGUAACACGUGGAUAACCUACCUAUAAGACUGGGAUAACUUCGGGAAACCGGAGCUAAUACCGGAUAAUAUUUUGAACCGCAUGGUUCAAAAGUGAAAGACGGUCUUGCUGUCACUUAUAGAUGGAUCCGCGCUGCAUUAGCUAGUUGGUAAGGUAACGGCUUACCAAGGCAACGAUGCAUAGCCGACCUGAGAGGGUGAUCGGCCACACUGGAACUGAGACACGGUCCAGACUCCUACGGGAGGCAGCAGUAGGGAAUCUUCCGCAAUGGGCGAAAGCCUGACGGAGCAACGCCGCGUGAGUGAUGAAGGUCUUCGGAUCGUAAAACUCUGUUAUUAGGGAAGAACAUAUGUGUAAGUAACUGUGCACAUCUUGACGGUACCUAAUCAGAAAGCCACGGCUAACUACGUGCCAGCAGCCGCGGUAAUACGUAGGUGGCAAGCGUUAUCCGGAAUUAUUGGGCGUAAAGCGCGCGUAGGCGGUUUUUUAAGUCUGAUGUGAAAGCCCACGGCUCAACCGUGGAGGGUCAUUGGAAACUGGAAAACUUGAGUGCAGAAGAGGAAAGUGGAAUUCCAUGUGUAGCGGUGAAAUGCGCAGAGAUAUGGAGGAACACCAGUGGCGAAGGCGACUUUCUGGUCUGUAACUGACGCUGAUGUGCGAAAGCGUGGGGAUCAAACAGGAUUAGAUACCCUGGUAGUCCACGCCGUAAACGAUGAGUGCUAAGUGUUAGGGGGUUUCCGCCCCUUAGUGCUGCAGCUAACGCAUUAAGCACUCCGCCUGGGGAGUACGACCGCAAGGUUGAAACUCAAAGGAAUUGACGGGGACCCGCACAAGCGGUGGAGCAUGUGGUUUAAUUCGAAGCAACGCGAAGAACCUUACCAAAUCUUGACAUCCUUUGACAACUCUAGAGAUAGAGCCUUCCCCUUCGGGGGACAAAGUGACAGGUGGUGCAUGGUUGUCGUCAGCUCGUGUCGUGAGAUGUUGGGUUAAGUCCCGCAACGAGCGCAACCCUUAAGCUUAGUUGCCAUCAUUAAGUUGGGCACUCUAAGUUGACUGCCGGUGACAAACCGGAGGAAGGUGGGGAUGACGUCAAAUCAUCAUGCCCCUUAUGAUUUGGGCUACACACGUGCUACAAUGGACAAUACAAAGGGCAGCGAAACCGCGAGGUCAAGCAAAUCCCAUAAAGUUGUUCUCAGUUCGGAUUGUAGUCUGCAACUCGACUACAUGAAGCUGGAAUCGCUAGUAAUCGUAGAUCAGCAUGCUACGGUGAAUACGUUCUCGGGUCU